GUAGGUGUAGCUCAGUGGUAGAGUGCAUACUUUGCGUGUGUGAGGCUGUGGGUUCCAUCCCUGGCAUCUCCA
rfam:Loxodonta africana unplaced genomic scaffold scaffold_143, whole genome shotgun sequence.